rnacentral:rRNA from 1 species
GACGAACGCUGGCGGCGUGCUUAACACAUGCAAGUCGAGCGGAGCGGCGAACGGGUGAGUAACGCGUGAGUAACUGCCCCCCUCUCUGGGAUAACAGUUGGAAACGGCUGCUAAUACCAGAUAGUGGGGGAUGACUCGCGUCCGAUAAGCUUGUGGGUGGGGUAGGGGCCUACCAAGGCGACGACGGGUAGCCGGCCUGAGAGGGCGACCGGCCAUAUGGGGCUGAGAUACGGAUCGAAAUCCUACUGGAGGAAGUAGUGGGGCAGAUUGCACAAUGGGGUAAACCCUGAUGGAGGAACGCCGCGUGCGGGAUGAUGGCCUUCGGGUUGUAAACUGCUUUCAGCAAUGACGCGGUAGUGGCAGAAGAAGCACCGGCUAACUACGUGCCAGCAGCCGCGGUAAUUC